rnacentral:snoRNA from 1 species
AAUCCAUACAUCGGGCAUUUCUGAAUUAGCUCUUUAAAUCAUUCCCAAGCUUUAUACAGUGUUUCAUCCUCUAAUUUUCGAAAAGAUGUGAUGUCAUUUCUAAGCUU